UACAGGGGGUGCGAGCGUUGUCCGGAAUCACUGGGCGUAAAGGGCGCGUAGGUGGCUUGGUAAGCGUGUGGUGAAAGUCCGGGGCUCAACCCCGGAUCUGCCGUGCGUACUGCUAGGCUGGAGCACUGUAGAGGCAGGUGGAAUUUCGGGUGGAGCGGUGGAAUGCGUAGGUAUCCGAAAGAACACCAGUGGCGAAGGCGGCCUGCUGGGCAGUUGCUGACACUGAGGCGCGACAGCGUGGGGAGCAAACAGG
rnacentral:rRNA from 1 species